UGCGUAGGCGGCUUUCUAAGUUGGAUGUGAAAACUCUGGGCUCAACCCAGAGCCUGCAUCCAAAACUGGAGAGCUAGGGUUCUGGAGGGGAAAGCGGAAUUCCUGGUGUAGCGGUGAAAUGCGUAGAUAUCAGGAGGAACACCGGUGGCGAAGGCGGCUUUCUGGACAGAUACCGACGCUGAGGCACGAAAGCUGGGAGCAAACA
rnacentral:rRNA from 1 species